rnacentral:tRNA from 1 species
GCGCCCAUAGCUCAGUUGGAGAGAGCGCCGGACUUCGAAUCCGUAGGUCGCAGGUUCGAGCCCUGCUGGGCGCGCCA